rnacentral:rRNA from 1 species
UACAGAGGGUGCGAGCGUUGUCCGGAAUUACUGGGCGUAAAGCGCGUGUAGGCGGAUGGGCAAGUCUGCUGUGAAAGCUCCUGGCUUAACCGGGAGUGGUCGGUGGAAACUGCCAAUCUGGAGGACGGUAGAGGUAGGUAGAAUUCCCGGUGUAGUGGUGAAAUGCGUAGAGAUCGGGAGGAAUACCUGUGGCGAAGGCGGCCUACUGGGCCGGACCUGACGCUGAGGCACGAAAGCUAGGGGAGCAAACAGG